rnacentral:rRNA from 1 species
UACGUAGGCGGAAAAUUAAGUCAGUAGUGAAAUCCCUCAGCUUAACUGUGGAACUGUUAUUGAUACUGGUUUUCUUGAAUAUAGUUGAGGUAGGCGGAAUGUGUAAUGUAGCGGUGAAAUGCUUAGAUAUUACACAGAACACCGAUUGCGAAGGCAGCUUACUAAGCUAUGAUUGACGCUGAGGUACGAAAGCGUGGGGAGCGAACAGGAUUAGAUACCCUGGUAGUCC